UAAAAGUUUAAUUUUGGUUUAAAAAUUUGUUUAAUUUUUUAUUUACAUGUAAAUUUUAGUGAGAAUUUAAGAUUUAUUUAAAUAGUAUAUUUUAGAUUUUAUAUUCGCAGUAUUAAGUUUUAUUUAUUUAAGAAAUUAAGAAUUAUAAAUAAAUUUUUUUAUUAACUAAUUUUGUGCCAGCAGUUGCGGUUAUACAAAAAAUAAAAAUAAAUUUUAUUAGUAAAUAAUUAAAUGAUUUUUUUUUAAAUAAAAUUAAAUUUAUAAGGUGAAAUUUAAUUUUUAAAUUAAUUAUUAUUAAAAUUAUUGAUUUUAUGAAAUUUUAUUAUUAAACUAGGAUUAGAGACCCUAUUAUUUAGAAUGUAAAUAAAUUUAUUAUAGUAGUAUUAGUUAAGGUCUUGAAAUUUAAAAAUUUUGGCGGUAUUUUAGUCUAUUCAGAGGAAUCUGUUCUGUAAUUGAUAGUCCACGAUAAAUUAUACUUAACUUAAAAAUUUGUAUAUCAUCGUUAUUAAAUAUUUUAUAAGAAUUUAAAUGUUUAAGAUUUUAUAUUAAAAAGUAUAUCAGAUCAAGGUGCAGUUUAUAUUUAAGAAGAAAUGGAUUACAAUAAAUUUAUUUAUGAUGGAUUUAUAUAUGAAAAUAUGUAAUGAAAGUGGAUUUGAUAGUAAUAAAAUUUAUAUAAAUUUUAUGAUUUAAGCUCUAAAAUGUGUACAUAUUGCCCGUCGCUUUUAUUAUAAGAUAAAAUAAGUCGUAACAAAGUAGAUGUACUGGAAAGUGUAUCUAGAAUGA
rnacentral:ncRNA from 1 species